AGACCAACAAUAUCCUUAAAUAGGAUUUUCACAAAUGUAACUUAUGUUUUUCUCUUUAAUUUUGGGGAAAAAAAUGUAAAAGUUAAAAUGUGUGAAAACGAAAAUAUGUUAAGAAGGGUCCACUUUUGUCCAGACAAACCAAACUUGAGGGUCGUAGCCCAUUAGUCGAUCAGUUUCAAGAGCCCAAUUUUUAGCUAAUUAGCCCAGUACAAGAGGUAAAGGGGAAAUUUGAUCCAAUACCCUUUUUUAAAGGGCUAUAAGGAUAUUUGUCCUUUUCAUCUAAAAUAUUUUUGUUUUGCCCUUUAAUUUUUCAAUAUUUCUAGCUUACCGUUUUCAAAUAUAAAAGAAAAGGAAAAAAGUAAUAAGAUGUAUUCCAUUUUUUUUCUAACUUGGAUGGAGCACGAAGAAAAGAGGAAGAGAAAGUGAGAGAGAAUCAGGUUGUUGCUAGCGAUCGGAGGCAGAGAGAGGUUAGCACCAUUUUAAUCGAAGAUGGAGAGAAGCCACCUCAAGUCGCCGAUUGAGGAUUCGAGAAGGUUUGCGCUUUUCGAAAAUCGGCAAUGGUUGUGUGAUGAAAACCUGAUGGAGAACACCAUUGUGCUUCCAAAGUGAGGGCACGAUCGAAAUUCCAACACAAAAGAAGCAUUUCGAGGCAUGGAAAUAGGAGAAACUGUGAUUUGAAGCUCAGUCCAAUGGGAUUCCUUAUAAAAGGAGGUUUGUCAUCAUCCAAUGAUUGUUACUUGCCACUGCGAGGGUAAAGGAUGGAAAUUUUGGGGUGAUAACAAUUUAAAGAGUAAAUUUUAGGGUCACUUAAUCCAGCUUGAUCAUGUUGUUCUUUUAACGGUGGAAUUUGACGACAGAGAAAUUUUUCAAUGGAGUAAGGUUACAACAUCAAUUAAUAACCUUAUAUUGGGAAAGCUCUAUUGUGACCACUGUGGUACAAUGCAUAUACAGGGGAAUCAUAACUAUUCUUGCAAGCUGAAAUUCAAGGAGCAAUCUAUCAUUGACCAAAAUCCUCACCAUGUACAUGGUUUAGUUCAAGAUAGAAAUGAAAAAAUGAUAGCAAUACUAUUUGGAAAAUGGGAUGAGAGCAUGCAUUAUGUGGAUGGAAAUUGUUCUGGGAAGGGAAAAGGAUUGGAGUCUUGACCUGAUGCCUAGUCGCUUUGGAAAAGGAGCAAGCCACCCCAGUUUCCUACAAUAUAUAACUUGCCACGCUUUGCCAUCACCAUGAAUGAACUCACCCUUGGAUUAAAGGAAAAGUUGUCCCCUAUAGAUUUAAGGCUCAGGCCUGAUCAAAGGUGUCUAGACAUUGAUUGCUACAACUUUUUAUACCUUACCACAGCUUGAGAGUCAGUUGGCUUCUAGGAAACCAGAAAUACUACUUCGGCAGGGAAAGCAGAAAAGCAUAUGUGGAAAGCGCCCUCGUUUGAUAUUGACUAAAACCCUUGAAUGGACCUUAAAUUGGUGCAUACUACAGAGCAUAUUUGAUAGAACCAAUGGAGUUGGAAGGUUUGAAAAAAGCACACAUUCGAGAUGGCGUUGCAGUGGUGCAAUAUCUUGUCUGGUUGGAUAAGCAGGUAGUCCGUGAAACUUGUGCAUCUGUUUAUUUCUUGGACAAGUAGUCAAUAUACCCUUUUUGGAGGAAAAGCUUUUUAUGAAAACAAUAAAACUAAAAAAUAAAUAAAUAAAUAAAAAGAUGUCUAAGCUUUUAGUGCAUAUAUAGAUGCAGGAGAUAUAUGGGGUUUCUGGUUACUUCUUGGAGAGAGACAAAGUGACUAAGAAAAAGCAAUUGUAAGCUCAUUUUUUGUUUUUUGUUUUUUUUGUUUUUUUAGGCUGUUAUGCAACAUCUAACAUUUGAUUGAAAUACUAGUUGAGAUGUAUUAUGGCCUAAAUAUUCCCUGAAAGAGGAAUGUAAAAGGACAUAAACAGUAUCAGACAACUUGUCAGUACACAGCUUGUGUAUAUUCCUAUGUGUCUGCAUGCAAUGCUCUGCUUGUGCAGUUUCAAUACACACUAAUCAAAUAAUGAUGCAAUGAUUGUAGGCAAACACUUAAACUGACAGAGGUGACUACAAGCGAUAAGCUGGAGAGUUUUUGUGCAGUAAAAAACAUACUGUGAACUUCAAAUGAAAAUUCUAUAUGAUAAUAAGUGGUAAUGGUUGAAAAUUCUAUAUGAUAUCUGUGAACUUCAAAAGAGGCAUCUCUGACAUUGUCAUUUAUGCACAUGAGUGGUAAUGGUUCUUAAGUUGUAUUGCAUGGGCACAACCUGCUUCUGAAGCAAGCAUGGCAAAUUUCACCAUAUAAAGAUAAAUAAAGUGUUUUCCAAUUUCAAAUGAACUUUGACAUGGAGAUGCUAAUUCCUACUUUAGCAACCACUUUCAAAAGCUAGCAUGACAUUCUAUGCAUAACAAAUUCCAAUAUAUCAAGAGAAAUAAAGGGUUUUCCACUUUUAAAAUGAACUUUGACAUGGAAAUGUUAAUUCCUUCUUUAUCAACUACUUUCAGAUGUUCUUGUUAAAAAGUGAUAUAGUUGAAAACGCUAUACUACAGUAAGUGCUAAUCUAUUUAAAGCAUGCUAUACUGCAAUAAGUGCUAAUCUAUUUUAUUUUUCCUUUUUAUUAUCAUUAUUAUUAUUAUAUUUUUUCAAGUCUUGCAAAGUAAUUUUGUUUGCUUCAUUUUGCAGGUCCUUAAGGGUCAUAUUGCACUUAGGAAUGCUCAAUUUCCUAAUGGAACCAACGGUAUUUUAUUUUAUUUUUUACAUUAUGUAUUUCAUUUUAAGUGAAAUGUAUUGACUAUAUUCUUGUAAGAUUGUGUGAUAGGAAGGUACAUGUUCACUUUCCUACAGGUAAUGCCCUAGACAUUCUUGCUUGAGUUCCACUAUAGAAAAAUGGUCUUGAUUAUCGGCAUAGUACAGGCCACGGAAUUGGAUCUUACCUUAAUGUUCAUGAAGGAAAGUGUGUUUUACUACUUUCCUCUAUUAUUACUGGGUAUCAAAUCGGUCUCCGUUAUAGUGGAGGUGUCCCCGUAUCAGACUUAAUUUUUAGUUUUUCUACAUGAUUCUCAUGUCAAGAUGAAGUGUAAAGACCCAAUUUCAUUAUUAAAUUCUCCAUAUUGUUUGAGAUGUGGAAAAGUAAGAAAUAAGAAGGAUGAGAAUUUAAAUGGAUGGUAAUUGAGUUCUCAAAUAUUGACUCUCUAGUUUGGGACCAUUUGAACUUGUUUGAAUGGUAUGCAUUGAAAUUUAGUUAGUUUUAAAUGAGAAA